CAGCCGCCACGGUAAUACGUAGGUGGCAAGCGUUGUCCGGAAUUAUUGGGCGUAAAGGGCUCGCAGGCGGUUUCUUAAGUCUGAUGUGAAAGCCCCCGGCUCAACCGGGGAGGGUCAUUGGAAACUGGGAAACUUGAGUGCAGAAGAGGAGAGUGGAAUUCCACGUGUAGCGGUGAAAUGCGUAGAGAUGUGGAGGAACACCAGUGGCGAAGGCGACUCUCUGGUCUGUAACUGACGCUGAGGAGUGGGAGCGUGGGGAGCGAACAGGAUUAGAUACCCCCGUAGUCCCUGUCUCUUAUAC
rnacentral:rRNA from 1 species